rnacentral:rRNA from 1 species
AGCGAACGCUGGCGGCAGGCCUAACACAUGCAAGUCGAACGAACUCUUCGGAGUUAGUGGCGGACGGGUGUGUAACACGUGGGAACGUUCCUUUUUGUUCGGAAUAACUCAGGGAAACUUGUGCUAAUACCGAAUGUGCCCUUCGGCGGAAAGAUUUAUCGCCAUUAGAGCGGCCCGCGUCUGAUUAGCUAGUUGGUGCGGUAACGGCUCACCAAGGCGACGAUCAGUAGCUGGUCUGAGAGGAUGACCAGACACACUGGGAAUGAGACACGGCCCAGAAUCCGACGGGAGGCAGCAGUGGGGAAUGUAGCGCAAUGGGCGAAAGCCUGACGAAGCCAGGCGGCGUGAAUGAUGAAGGUAUUAGGAUUGUAAAAUGCUUUCAACGGGGACGAUAAUGACGGUACCCGGAGAAGAAGCCCCGGCUAACUUCGUG